UUUUUCAAUUUUAGUUUCUAACAUUUUUUUUAAAAUUUCUAACGUUCAAAAAAUGAAAAAUGUAUGUUGAAAUUUUAUUUUUGUCGUACAUCAUCUGUACACAAAUGGAAAAUUUACUUUCAAUGUGGUUUAAUUUUGGCAGCCAGACACUUCCUUUCCGUGCAAUUGAUGAAUUAAUUUUAAAAUUUCAGUAGUGGUGUUAAAAACACGUCUGAGAGUAUAAACACAUUUUCCUACAAAACUAAACUAAAAAUCUGAAACGUUGCCUCAUCUGAACUCACUGCCAGACGCUGAAAUCUUUGGGUUUGAUAGUAUUUUAUAAAAUUUGAACCCAGAUGUUUGAAUUCCUUAUUAAUUUAUUCAUGUAAUUAAAGGCAACUCAAGUUAAAAAUACCUAAAACUCAACGAUUCCAUUGACAAGUCUGAUCAAUGUUGACAACCUGCAGAUCCUGAAAAUGAGAUGAAAUGUUGAUUAAAUACGAAUCUGACAGUUAAACUGAAGGUGCGAGUUGAUCAGCUGAAAAUAUUGAUCUGAUAUAGAUGAAAAGUUGAGCAGAGAAGAGUCGACACUCUGUUUCUCUGUUGUUGAGCUGCAACAAUUAAACAAUCAGUCGAAAAAAUGUAUCUACAGAUAUUUUGAUAACUAAUUAAUCAACAUUUGAACUAUCAAACAUUUGAUGAAGGUUUUCAAAAGCUCAUUUUUGUCUUUGAAAUACAUUUUUGGAAGCGUUUAUUAGACAAAACAAGAAAUGUGUCACCUUACACUCUACUAGGAGACUAAUAGACGUUUUUCUGAUGUUUUAUUGACUAGCGAUUAAUUGUUACAGUAUACUAAUAAGAUGCAACAAGAAGCACUUCACAUCAAAAAGACAAAAACAAAAUAAUAUGUUCCACACUAGACAGCAAACAAACACAGUUACACCACACAACCAAACCACGCUGUAAAUCACCACCGCUGCUCGCAACAGGACAAAGAGGACAGAAAUGGAACAGAAAUAACCUUGUUGGACAAAAUGAGAAACUAAAAGUCAGUUGCGGCUCCAGCGUCAGUCGAACCUUCGAACAGAGAGUCCGGCUGGCAGUAGACGGAUCCGUCCUCCUGCAUCACCGCCUGGGCCUUCGUGUCCGUCAGCGUCACCAGGUUUCGCUCUUCAGGAACUUACUUCUGUAAAACACUUCGCCUGAAACAACAACAACACUGUGAACAACGACGCCGGAAACCAGAUCUGUCACAUGGACUUCAAACUGAACCAAGUCUCAAAUCCUCAUUUUCUAGAGUCUCAAGUCUUCUGGAAGUACACAAGAGAGACUCACCGCCGCUGAAGGUGAAGCUGUGGAUGAGCGACAUGCCAUCGAACCAGUGGUUGUACUCCGAGUUGCCCACAGAGAACAAACCGGGCCCGUUCCUCAGCAGAGUCCCCUGCAGCCAGGCCGGGAUAGAGCCUGCAGCAAGCACAGGCAACGGCAGCUUCCCGGAAUCCCAGUCUGGUAGUGGUGGUGAUGAUGAUGAUGAUGUACGUGGUCAUGUGAUCUCCCUCCCACUGACCCGAAAGGUAAAACAGUUUGUGAUGUCGUCAAGAGUGUGAUUGAGCCGUAAAACCGGAGAGAGAGCGACCUGACGGAGGCGGCGUCUGAUUGGACGAGGUGAGGACGGAGGAGCGGAGGAGGUGUGUGUGUGUUUUGGCUGAAUGUUGAAGCACCAGGAAGGAGGGAGGAGACUAACAGUACCUGCUGCUGGGAGUGUGUGUGUGUGUGUGUGUGUGUGUGUGUGUGUGUGUGUAAAAUGUGUGUUUGUAACGUACGUCUUAAAAACUCGCGAGCCAUCAGGGUCAAAAAGUGUUUUAAGGAAACGCAGCCAAUCAGGACACAGAUCUGAUCCAGAGGAAGAUAUCUCAACAGUUACUAUGGUAACGUGAUAUUUUACAGGUCCUUCAAUUUUACACUCAUUUCCUGGAAAUUUUCUGUGUAAUUUGCAGGUGUGUAACAGCUCGUUUUCAGGACAUUUUGUAAAAUUUGUGGUGCAAUUUAGUGCAAAUUAUAAGAAAAAUGGGAAAUUGGAGUUGGAUUCAUAUGUUAAAGUGCAAAAAAGAGAAAAAAAAGUACUUUUCAGCACGUAGUUUGUGUCAUACGAUAUGAUGAGUGUUCAGCAGCAUUUUAUUUUACACAUUUCUUUCUUUUCUACUAAUUUCAGGACAAUUUUUCAACAAUUUCCUAAAAGUAGCUGCUGACAUUUCUUUGAAAGUGUUUUAUAAUCUGGUAUUAACAGGAAAUGCAUGUUUAAAAAAUAAUCUAAUAUAGUAAAAUGUAUUUUCUAUCAGUUAAAUAAUUUUGAAAUUUUGAAAAUUAACAACAACUUUUCUGUAAACUGUCCUUAAAAUUAAAAACCUGCAAAUUACUGAGAAAAUGAGAAGGAAUAGAGUAAAAGACUGGAACAUCCAGCCGGAUAAAACCAGAAGAAAACGAGUCAAAAAUCCUUCUGAGUGAAACUUGAACACACAGACGUGAACGACACACGUUGAUGUCAUUCAGUGUGAUUUACACUUCCUGUGGAUCAUCUAUGAGUCGUCAAUAAACCUCCACAGAUCCAUUCAGUAUCACAGUGAUCAGUGAUAUUUGUCUGAGCAUCAUGUUUCACUGCAGACAGGAAGCUGAAUCAGCUGAUUCACACGACUUUAAACACGACGAGUCAUAAUAUCUGUGAUAUUUUGACCUGAUGGCGGCGCUACUGAGAAGGUCAGAAGGUCACCAGAAUG